rnacentral:rRNA from 1 species
GACCUGCGGAGGGAUCAUUACCGAGUUUACAACUCCCAAACCCAAUGUGAACGUUACCAAACUGUUGCCUCGGCGGGAUCUCUGCCCCGGGUGCGUCGCAGCCCCGGACCAAGGCGCCCGCCGGAGGACCAACCAAAAACUCUUUUGUAUACCCCCUCGCGGGUUUUUUUAUAUCUGAGCCAUCUCGGCGCCUCUCGUAGGCGUUUCGAAAAUGAAUCAAAACUUUCAACAACGGAUCUCUUGGUUCUGGCAUCGAUGAAGAACGCAGCGAAAUGCGAUAAGUAAUGUGAAUUGCAGAAUUCAGUGAAUCAUCGAAUCUUUGAACGCACAUUGCGCCCGCCAGUAUUCUGGCGGGCAUGCCUGUCCGAGCGUCAUUUCAACCCUCGAACCCCUCCGGGGGGUCGGCGUUGGGGAUCGGCCCUUUACGGGGCCGGCCCCGAAAUACAGUGGCGGUCUCGCCGCAGCCUCUCCUGCGCAGUAGUUUGCACACUCGCAUCGGGAGCGCGGCGCGUCCAAUGCCGUAAAACACCCAACUUUCUGAAAUGUUGACCUCGGAUCAGGUAGGAAUACCCGCUGAACUUAAG